GAAAUUUUUAAUUUAUAUUUUUGCAACUUGGGAUGACUGUAAUUGGUAAAAUAAUACUGUGGGCCAUUUAAUAACAGCAUGCAUUUUUGAUUAAUAGGACAAAGCUGAAGAAUGAAGAGGUUUAUUGUUGCAUUGGUGUUUCUGGCUGUGGGUUCCUCUGCACCUGUAAGUCAUAAAAUCAGAGAUCAGUUCAUUUAAAAAGAUGACUCUGUAGUACAGCCUGACAUAGUUAGUUAUUUUAUUUUUUUCAUUGUUGAAAAGGUGGAGCAAGUCAGUGAGAGAGAUAAUGUGCCAACUUUUGAAGCGGAGCAGAGGCCCUUGGGUCCACCAUUGGCUCAAAUAGUACCAGGAACUCGGACCAUCUACUACCCCAUUCAGUCUGACUAUCUGUUAUCUGGAUUAGGUGGAUUGGGUGGAUUGGGUGGAUUAGGAGGAUUAGGUGGAAUAGGUGGAUUCCCGAUUACCAAUUCACUGUAUCCUAAUUACCAAUGCUACCCAUUCUACCCAUACUGUGGUGUAUACACCGUGCCACCUAUCAUCAUCUCCGUGCCACAAGCAGCUGUCUGACCCAGCAGGUCCUUCCAUCACUCUAUAUGAACUAGGGGAGGGCGGAUCGAUUUAAUAUAUCGAUAGUAUCGAUGCUAACAUAGGUAUUGGGUAUUGAUUGAUACUUGUGUGAUGAAAUCAAUGCUUACGUUUCAGUUUCUCUUUUGUACAACUAAUUUACAGGCAUUUACAGAGUGACCGACUGUCCAUACAACACUAUAUUCUCACUUCACUCAUGCUCAAUUAGCCCCUCCCCUUUCCGCCCCGCCCCCAUAGCAUUAGAAAGGUGUGUAAUGUCAUUUUUCAGUGUAAUUGAUCAUCCCAGUAAUUUAGCAGACUGAUUAAUAGACUAUUCAGACAGUCACAUAGGGAAUAUAUUCAGCCAGUUCAAAUAGAACUAAAUGAAUUAUUUCACUGAAACUGAAAAAUAGAUAUGCUACAAAAAGAUAUAGCUAUGCCUCAAACCUGAACUAUGAAUAUGGCUGAAUAAAUAUUUUAUGUUAACUGUCA
ensembl:lncRNA